rnacentral:rRNA from 1 species
UACGUAGGUGGCAAGCGUUGUCCGGAGUUAUUGGGCGUAAAGCGCGCGCAGGCGGUCCCUUAAGUCUGAUGUGAAAGCCCACGGCUCAACCGUGGAGGGUCAUUGGAAACUGGGGGACUUGAGUACAGAAGAGGAAAGCGGAAUUCCAUGUGUAGCGGUGAAAUGCGUAGAGAUGUGGAGGAACACCAGUGGCGAAGGCGGCUUUCUGGUCUGUAACUGACGCUGAGGCGCGAAAGCGUGGGGAGCAAACAGG